rnacentral:rRNA from 1 species
GACGAACGCUGGCGGCGUGCUUAACACAUGCAAGUCGAACGGAAAGGCCCUGCUUUUGUGGGGUGCUCGAGUGGCGAACGGGUGAGUAACACGUGAGUAACCUGCCCUUGACUUUGGGAUAACUUCAGGAAACUGGGGCUAAUACCGGAUAGGAGCUCCUGCUGCAUGGUGGGGGUUGGAAAGUUUCGGCGGUUGGGGAUGGACUCGCGGCUUAUCAGCUUGUUGGUGGGGUAGUGGCUUACCAAGGCUUUGACGGGUAGCCGGCCUGAGAGGGUGACCGGCCACAUUGGGACUGAGAUACGGCCCAGACUCCUACGGGAGGCAGCGGGGGAGAAUAUUGCACAAUGGGCGGAAGCCUGAUGCGGCAACGCCGCGUGCGGGAUGACGGCCUUCGGGUUGUAAACCGCUUUCGCCUGUGACGAAGCGUGAGUGACGGUAAUGGGUAAAGAAGCACCGGCUAACUACGUG